rnacentral:rRNA from 1 species
AACCCCAGGAGCUAGCCCACAAAACCAAAGCAACAAACCCUAUUAAUACCCCUAAAAAUAUGAAACAACAACCAGCAAACCAUUUUUUCCUCUCAGUACGGGAGACAGAAAAGAGACUAAAGGCGCCAUAGAAAAAGUACCGCAAGGGAAAGCUGAAAGAGAACUUAAACAACCCAGUACAAGGACAAAAAAGCAGAGAUUAAUACUCGUACCUUUUGCAUCAUGACUUAGCAAGUAACCCCAAGCGAAGAGACCUGUACGUUUGAACCCCCGAAACUGGGCGAGCUACUCCAAGACAGCCUAUCAUAGGGCGAACCCGUCUCUGUUGCAAAAGAGUGGGAAGAACUUUGAGUAGAGGUGACAAACCUACCGAGCCCAGUAAUAGCUGGUUGCCUGAGAAAUGAAUAUAAGUUCAGCCUUUUGGGCUCUUACACCUACCCCGGCCUAACCCCCUCCCGGCAAAAAGAAAGCCAAAAGAGCUAUUCGGAGGAGGCACAGCUCCCCCGAACCAAGAUACAACUUUUUUAAGUGGCUAAAGACUAGACGAAAUAAGGCACAGUGCCCGAGCGGGCUUAGAAGCAGCCACCCCGCCCGAAAGCGUCAAAGCUUAAGCACCUGGCCCCUUUGAUCCAAGUAGAACCCUCUUACGCCCCUAAACAUAUCAGGCCCUUCCAUGCAAACAUGGAAAAGAAACUGCUAACAUGAGUAAUAAGAAAGGCCCGCCUUUCUCCCGGCCCCAGUGUAACCAGAACAGACUCUAACUGAAAAUUAACGCCCCCAGCCCAGCGGGCUCUGAGCCACACAACCUAGACUAGAAGACCACUCAGACUUUCAGCGUUAGCCCUACACCGGAGGGCUUAAAGGAAAGACAUAAAGAAAAGGAAGGAACUCGGCAAACACUAGCCUCGCCUGUUUACCAAAAACAUCGCCUCUUGCAAGCCCAGUAUAAGAGGUCCUGCCUGCCCAGUGACCAAGGUUUAACGGCCGCGGUAUUUUGACCGUGCAAAGGUAGCGUAAUCACUUGUCUUUUAAAUGAAGACCCGUAUGAAUGGCGUAACGAGGGCUAAACUGUCUCCUUUUUCUAGUCAAUGAAAUUGAUCUCCCCGUGCAGAAGCGGGCAUACCCCCAUAAGACGAGAAGACCCUGUGGAGCUUCAGACCAAAGGCAGCCUGAGCCACUUACCCUUAAAACAAGGGCUAAACUCGAGCUUAGCCCCUGCCCUUAUGUCUUUGGUUGGGGCGACCGCGGGGGAACACCCAGCCCCCGCGCGGAACGGGACCCUCCCCGAAACCAGAGCCACAGCUCUAACAAGCAGAACUUCUGACCGCAAGAUCCGGCACCGCCGAUCAACGGACCAAGUUACCCCAGGGAUAACAGCGCAAUCCCCUUUCAGAGCCCAUAUCGACAAGGGGGUUUACGACCUCGAUGUUGGAUCAGGACCUCCUAAUGGUGCAGCCGCUAUUAAGGGUUUGUUUGUUCAACGAUUAAAGUCCU